AUCGCUGCUGAUGAGCGCGGGCUGCGGCCCCCAAAUGACAUUCUGCUGCCUGCAACUCUGUAAUCGCUUUUGGAGGGGAUAUUAUGUUAAUAUCUCACACAAGAGCCUCCGAUCAGGCAGAACGUCAGGGCGGCCAGGCCCAGGCCAUAUGGUGCAUCCGAGGUCCUCCUUUGUAAUCCUGGGUAAUUGAAAUCCUCUUCCUCAUUCGGACGUGGAAAGCCUUCCUCGGAGCACCACUGGUGUCCUCUGGAGCCCCCACACCACGCUGUUCGUAAUGACGACUACUGCAUUGGCACGUCUCGUUGGGGUUCAACUUCUGUCCCUGCAGCUCCUGAGCUGCGUGACAUGGGCAGGGGACAUCAACUUUCUGAGCCCGAGUUGCCUCUUCUGGAAAGCGGGAGUCAUGCCGUCUUGCUCGCAGGGUGGUGGUCCCAGGGCUUGUGGCUGUGCCCUGCCCCUCUUGGGAACAGCGGGGGCCCAGGAACCUCUCUGCAGCACGGCUACCACCCAACCUCACCCGGCCACGAGCGAGGAUCCAGGAGAGGACGCGGGCCCUGGCAGAGCUGAUCAGUAUCCUUCGCUCUUAACUGGUGGAUGUGCUAGAAGGGGAGGUGACGGCUGCAGGCAGCCCCUCGCGUGGUAAAGAGAAUGAAGACAGCACAUUCAGAGAUGUCAGGGGAGGGGAGAGAGAAGGGUGUCUGAGUGUCGCCUCCCUGCUCCCAGGAGGCCCUUGUGUCUGCUUCCUGCCUGUCUUAUCUGGAUUUAUUUUUGUCAUCCACUAACUCCUCCAUUUUACUUCUGUUCAUUCAUUUGAAUUCUGUUUCUUUUUUCUUUUCUUUCCCCCUUUUUUUGCAAGUAAAAGAG
ensembl:lncRNA